rnacentral:lncRNA from 1 species
UUUGGAGCACUUUCGAGCAUUUUUGGGCCAAGAUUGGAUAGUGCAAGCAUGGAGACAUGAGGAUGGACGUUUUUGAAGAUUAGAAUGUUAGAAAUCAGCAUGUGUGUAUGUGUAAGUGUGUUGACCUACAAUUACAAACACUCAUCCACUACACCCAUUACAUCCACUCAUUACCAAACAUUCAUCCACUACACCCAUUACAUCCAUUCAUUACCAAAACUACACCUAUUACAUCCACUCAUUACCACAAACACUCAUCCACUACACCCUUUACAUCCACUCAUUACCACAAACACUCAUCCACUACACCCAUUACAUCCACUCAUUACCAAAACUACACCUAUUACAUCCACUCAUUACCAAAACUACACCUAUUACAUCCACUCAUUACCAAAACUACACCUAUUACAUCCACUCAUUACCACAAACACUCAUCCACUACACUCAUUACAUCCACUCAUUACCACAAACACUCAUCCACUACACCCAUUACAUCCAUCCACUCAUUACCACAAACACUCAUCCACUACACCCAUUACAUCCACUAAUUACCAAACAUCCAUCCACCGCACCCAUUACAUUCACUCAUUACCACAACACUCAUCACUACCACCUUAAUUAGAUGGUGGUCCUCUCCCUAGCCUAUAAAUACAUCCACCCUUCACCAUAACAAGGGGGAAGAAAACCAGAUAGAACACAAUCCACCCAUCCACCCUUCACCAUAACUCACCUAUAUCCAUCCACCACCAUAAUUUACCACUCAUCCAUCAAACGACACCUUGUGCCGCAACAAAGAGAAGAAGGAGGACCCUUGGACGUGCUUGCCAUUCAAGUUGGAUUGUUGGAGCGUUUUUAGGUGUUUUCAUUCUUUUGUUUUCAAUGUCUAAAUUUGUUUAUCUUUGCUUUAUGAGUAUGAGGAACUAAACCCCCCUUAGCUAGGGGGGAAUUCGAAACCAUGUUCAUGCUUGCAAUAUGAUUUGAUUACCUUCAGUUGUGAUUUCAUAAGUUGUGAAUUCAAUUUGUUUAACUGCUUGAUUGAUAACUUAUUCGUGUAUGUUUAUUAAGAGUGCACACUUAGUUUGCAUGCAUGAAUAUGAUGCUAGAGUAUAAGGGAGUUUCACCUAAUAGUUACAAACUUAUAUUCACAAGUAGUGGAGGUCGCUUAUAAACGAUCGCGUUAAAUAAAUUCUUGGCAGGAGUUUCAUGCUCAUCAUAGUAACGAAUGCCUCGUCAAUACUUAUAGUUUUCAUAAUGCUUAAUGAUCUUUGAUUGUAUCUUUAUUAUGCUGUUCACGUAAAGAACUUUUGAAGAAUUCUUGAAUUGUUGUAUGCGCUUUCCCAUCCAAUUCAAUAACUUAAGGAGAACUUGAAGGUAAAUUUAAGCGGACUUAAUUAACCUGGGGUAUUGAGUUUCAUGAUUGAUCGAAAGAACAACUGAAAAUUGGUUUCUGUGCAAGUAUGUCAUGUGUGGAGAAGAACCUUCUAGCUAGCCUUCCAUCCAUUCAAUUUACUCAAAUUCGUGCAGAUUUCAUUAGUUCUUUAAUUUACUUGUUUUGUUUUCAAAUUCGUCAAAACCAAAACCCCCUUUACUUUAAAGUGUUUUAUUAGUCAAAAUCUGUUUUGAUUUGUGUUUUUAGGUGUCCCAAAAGUGUGUUAGAGUCCAAAUCUACCCAGUUUGUGUUUUUAGGCAGAUUUAAGCGUUUUUAGCUUGUUUUGAGUCCUUUGAGUUUGUUUUAAGUUCUUUGAGUCUAGUUUAGUGUUUUUAACUUUGUUUAUAUGUUUUUAAGUCAGUUUAGAGGUUUUAGCAAGCCCUCCUAAUCCCCGGUUUAGAACGAUCCCUACUUGCAUUUAUACUACAAUUUUACAACAAGAGAGUUUAAUUUGUGUGUUAAGAAAAUUUUCGCAUCAAAUUUUUGGCGCCGUUGCCGGGGAUUAGCAACUUUGCUAAUCCCUUGUUAUUUCUUUUUGUAUAUUUUCAUGUCUUUUGUUUUUAGUUAUUGACUUUGUUUCUGUUUGUGUUUUUUUUUUUUUUUGUUUUACUUUUGAUAAAUGAUUUAAUUUUGUUUCCUUGAUUUCAGGCACUAGAGAAGUAAGACAUGGAUUUUGCUACCAUUCAAGCUCAAUUGGCGAAACUUAUUUCUCAAUUGUCACAAUAUCCCGAAAGGACCACAGUGCAAAAUGUCCCUACAUAUGGUGUGUCCUAUGGGCAAGGAUAUCCAACUCAUCAAUGUUCUCAAUUCGCUGCGAAUGAAGAAGCUUGGGCUUAUCAAGGCCAUAGCCAAUCAUGUGACAACAUGUUUUCCAACGCUUACAAUUCGAAUUGGAAAGAUUAUUCAGAUUACAUGUGGGGAGAACCUCAACAAUUCCAACAAGAUAGGUAUUGGCAGCAAGAAGAGUAGUUUUAUUCAAGACCUAUGCAGCCACCACAACAAUCUGCCCAAUUCAAUUUAGGUACGUCUUUGGAUAAUGAUAUGUUUAAUAAGUUACUCACCUCUUUGAACCAGGAAGUAGAAAAUGGAAACAAAGAGAUGCAAAAUCAAGCCAAGAAGACGGGUGAAUUGGAGAAGCAAAUUAGGCAAAUUAUGGAGUUCAUGGCACAAAUUCAAGAGCAAAGUAAACUCUCCAACUCAGCUAUUGAAAAUUUGAAGGAAGAUUUUGAAAUCCAUGAUGCUAUCACUUUGGGAAGUGCUAUGAAGGUUGGAGGUGAACCCAAGACAUCCAAACCAAGCCAAAACAUGGAUGAACAGCUGCUGCUCGAAGAAGAGGAGAAUAACAAGGCCAUGGCAAGGGAAGAACCACAUUUGUCGCAACCCCAUAUGCCAUCUAUGCCGUCUACUACAACCAAGGUAAGCCUAAAUUCAAUUUGUCCUGACCUCGAUUCACCAAAUGUCCUUAUUCCUUGCAGGAUUAUGCAAUCCAAGGAAGAAGAGGGUGAGAGAGGCAUCUUCGAAACCUUUCCAACGAAUCAAGAGCAAGAAGUGGAUGGGGAAUGUCUAGAAUUCAUCAAAGAAGAUACACUUGAGACGAAAAUUCCCAAAAAAGUUGGAUUUUAUGACACGGGACAAGUCAUAACACUCAAAACACCAAAUCUGGCCAAGUCCCAUAUCCCUGCAACCUUCAAAGAUGUGGUGUUCGUAAUUGAGUUUGUGUUGGAGCAAGCAAGUAAGCCAUCUUCUCCAACUUCGAUUUUAUUAUAUACUAACUUGCUAAUUUUGAUGAUUCAGGCACCUACACUAGAAUUUAAACCAUUGCCGGAUCACGUCAAGUAUCACCAUCCAUUCAAGGAUCAAUUCCAUGCUAUGGGCCCCAUCCAAGUUUAGAAGGAAGUUUCGUCCGGCUGGAAAACGUUAAAGCAAGCGUUUCUUGGGAGGCAACCCAUGUAUUCAAAUAAGGAAGAUUUUUGAAUCGUUCCACAAUCAGUUUUGCGUUUCUAAAAACUUUCCCUUUUCUGUAGUUUUAUUUUUCCAUGAUUAUCAUUUUUAUUUGUUGUUUGUUUAAUUGUUUUUGGUGUGGGUUUAUUUUUAAAACACUGACAGUUAGGCAAGGUAUUUUUACAUUCAUUUUCAUAAAAAAAAGGAACAUUAAGCAGAAAAAAGCUACAAGAGGGAGCCUUUACAAAGGCUGCUUAGGAGAAGUCUCAGUAGUCGACGGAGCUUCAGUAGUCGGCGGAGCCUCAGCAAUCGGCGGAGCCCCAAAAGAAGGAAGCAUCGGAGGUUGAUCAUUUGGAGCUUCAUUACGCGGUACAACCCUAGAAGACGAAGGCAAAUGCUAUUGGAACAAACCUACAAACCUCUGAUGAUCAAGUAAAAUCUGACCAUCAGAUUCCUGCAUCUGGUCAAUCUUCCUCUUCAUGUUUGUAGCAUAGUUAUGUGCAAGCCUGUGCAACUGUUUAUUCUCAUGCUUGAGCCCUCUAAUCUCCUGUUUGAGACUCAUCACUUCAGCCGCCAAUGAUUCAACUUGACGGGUUCGAGCAAAUAGGCGUUGGGCCAUAUUAGACACAGAACCUGCACACUGCACACUGAGAGCCAGAGAAUCCUUAACAGCCAACUCAUCAGACCGUUUGGCAAGUAGUCUGUUAUCUUUGGGAGUGACAAGGUUCCUGGCCACCACCGCAGCUGUCAUAUCAUUCUUCAUCACCGAAUCCCCAACGGUAAGGGGACCAGUAGGGGAUAUGAAGGAUGGGCGCCAUAUGUUGUCUGGAGAAGGCGGGACUGCCUCUUCACCAAGGUUCAAGUCAAAACGACGGUUGGAAGGGCCAUACAUUUUCAGAGGUGUUAAAGAAAGAAGAAGUCGGACCAGUCAAGAUCAUAGAAGUACAAGAAGGGAGUUUCUACAGGCAGAAAUUCAAGUGUGCUUUGAACGUCAUGCGUACCUCUAUAAAAAUCAGCACUCGACGGGAUUUCAAAGAUCGAAGAGGCGAGCUCAGAAAUCGAAGAGGCCAACUCAAAAAUCGAAGAGGCGCUAGCUUUCUUAAAAGCUGGGCUUGCUCAGAAACCACGGCCAAACUUCUUUUCCAGAUUUGUCCGCACUUGUCACAUGCAACCUCUGCACUCGAUAGGAUUUCAGAGAUCGAAGAGGCAAGCUCAGAUAUCGGAGAGGCAUCUGCUUUUCCAGACGUGUCAGCAUCUAUCACAUGCAGAGUCGGCUUUGCAGAAAUCACGGGCAGUUUGUCGAAGCGCCGAUUCUUAGAUAUCGGAGAGGCAUCUGCUUUUCCAAACGUGUCAGCAUCUGUCACAUGCAGAGUCAGCUUUGCGAAAAUCACGGGCAGUUUGUCGAAGCGUCGAUUCCAGAUAUCGAAGAGGCACUUGCUUUUCCAGAUGUGUCAGCGCCUGUCACAUGCACAUUCAGCCUUCCGAAAAUUACAGGCAAUCUGUCGAAGAUCUCUUGUGAAGUAGAAAGCACGUGAAGUUUACUAUUAAAUCAUCCAACGGUUGCUGACAAGAGUGAAAGAAUACUACCGGUUAUUAAUUCCUAUAAAUGUCACCCUUCACCCUCCAUUGCAAGGCAGACAUACAUAACCCUUCUUCUUCUCCAAGAAUGUCUUUCCAACAAACCCUCUCGAGUCACUCAGUGUUCCUUAUUCCUUGAGGUACCUCUGCAAACAACUCAUCCAAAGCAAAAGUAUUUCAUAUCAUGAAGGUUGAAGCAAGAGUAUCUCAUAUCAUGCUUUCUCCCUGUCCUUAUCCUUGUCGUUGUUUUGGGACAAGGAGAAAGAGAGCAAUUAGCCAGCACUUGGUAUCAAUCUUCCGAUCUGGAACCGACUGCCUGGAACCCCUUCCUGAUUGCUUACCUAGCCUUGCUCUCGAGUACUCAUCUUCAUCAUUUUAUGCUUCCUCUUCAUCUACCACAUCUGCCUGGGGAACAGAUAAGGGAAGUGAAAAUGAUACCUCGAAGCAUGUGGAGACAAUUUGCCAAUUCAUCCUCAGCUAGGGACAAGGAGAAAGAAAGCAAGAGGUGGGCACUUGGAAAGAUUGAAGAAAGAAACAGACCAACACCUCUACCUCGUGCCUGCCUGCCGUGCAGAAGAAACAAGCAGAGAAGAAUGCAGACUGCACAAUCAAAUCAACCCAGCAGAAGGAGUCUGAUUUGAAACCAAGGAACUCUCAUAUUCCUCGCUCAGAAUUCCAAACCAGUUCGAGAUCAAAGCUGUGGAAAGACAACAAGAUCAUCUAUCUCCAAAACCAGAUUUGCGUUCUUAAACUCUACUCUGUCUGGUUUUUACUUUGCCAUACUUGUCAUGUUUAUUCGUUGUUUUUUUGUUUGCUUGUUUUUUGUGUGAGUUUAUGCUUGAAACAUUGAGGACAAUGUUUGAUUUAAGUGUGGGGGGGGGGGGGUAACCAAGUUGUUUUGCAUGAAAUUCGUAGGAGUUUAUCACCCAUUACUUCUAGUGUUGUUCCUUGCUGUUUUAAGUGUUUUUAAGCUGUUUUGGAGUGUUUUAGUGUGUUUUGACAUAAAAAUCCGAAAAUCUCAUAAAAAUUUGAAAAAUUGUUUUGAAAAACCCAAAAAGAGUUGUUUUUGUAUGUUUAUUUGUGUCUUAGGGUACCUUCCAACACAAUGAUGAGGAUUUGGUUUUUAAUUACAUGACUGUUAAAGAGAGUUAUAAACAUGGAUGAAAAUUUGAUUUACUCUUUGGUGUAUGCUUGGUUGUGGUUAUAAUUUAUGAAUUCACAUGCAAUCAUAAAGGAAAAAUCAAUUUUUGUAACAUGCUUGAAGGAAGGAACUCAAAUGAACGCUACAACCUUGUGAGACUUGAGCCUAAACGUUUAUUUGGAGAGUUAAUAAUCUGUGCAUCAUUGUUUUCUAAAGUCGUUGCAUGAUCUCAUUAUUCUUAGCUUGGUUGCUACUUAGAAGGCGUUUCAUCAUUUAGUUCCAAAUGUUAGAACUUAUGCCUAUUUCAUUCAAAGCAUGCUAUUGAUUUGCAUAACACAUUUUCAAGAUGAAGUUGUGUAGUGACCACCAAAGCCAAAUUGUCGUGCCCCUAUUUCAUUAUGUGUUUAAGUUUAACCCCGUUGAGCCUUGUUAAGCCUAUGUUCUUUGUUAACCCACACUAUCCUUACCUAGCCUAGUUUUAGGACCAUCCAUACCCUUGUUCUUGAAGCAUAGUAAAGCAUGACUUAAAAUGAACUCCUUUUUUAUCAAUAUAUUGCAGAAGUCCAAAACAUUGAAUUCGGCCCUGAGUGUUGCAUGAAUCUUCCCUUUGUAUUUAAAAGUUGAUUCUGCAUUCUAAAGUGAAUUCCAAGUGUCUAUUUCAUUGCUUUGCUUGCUAUCGCUUUAAGAACGUUUGUUAUUCCUAUCCUUUCUUUGUUAGCCAUUACCCCCAAGCCCUGUUACAACCCUUGACUUCAAUCUUGAGUGUUGUGUGUUUCAAUUUGUGGAGUUCGAAAUUGGUAUGAGCAUAUGGUGUCACUGGUUCUCGCAUCUAAGUAGUAGCAUUCCAUUCAUGAGAUCAUAUCUAAACAUGCUUAAUAACUCCAGAAAAUUGCUUUCUUUGUUAUAACAUAUGUGAGUCCUAGUCUUUCGUGUUUACAUUAAUCUUCUCACAUAUACUAGUGUAGGGUGUGUAGUCAGAAAAUGUGUGUGAAAAUAGAGAGUAUCUUGUAAGGAAUUGAGCAAAUUCUCUAAGGCAUGUUACUACAUUCAAAACAUUGUUUUAAUUGGUUAAUUGUGAACUAGUAAGUGGUGACUGUGAUUAAGUUUGUGCUCAAGUGUGAAAGAUAACCAAAAUCUGUGGGAAUGAUGAUUUUUAACAUGUCAUGUUUCAUUGGAAAUCCCUGAGGCAAAUGUUGGAAGGUUAGGUUGUGUUUUGUUUUUUUUGUUUCGUUUUGUUUCUUUUGUUUUGCUCAAGGACUAGCAAAAGCUAAGUGUGGGGGAAUUUGAUAGGAGUAUAUUUAUGCAACUUAGUGAGCUUGUUUCUUGGCAUUUACUUAGUUUAAUUCCAGUUAUUUUAGUACUUUAAGCUAUUUUCGUGUAUCUGUAGGUUCAAAUAACAAAGUUGGCAACAAAGUGCUAUUUGGAGCACUUUCGAGAAUUUUUGGGCCAAGAUUGGAUAGUGCAAGCAUGGAGACAUGAGGAUGGACGUUUUUGAAGAUUAGAAGGCCAGAAAUUAGCAUGUGUGUGUGUGCAAGUAUGUUGACCUACAACUACAAACACUCAUCCACUACACCCAUUACAUCCACUCAUUACCAAAACUACACCUAUUACAUCCACUCAUUGCCACAAACACUCAUCCACUACACUCAUUACCACAAACACUCAUCCACUACACCCAUUACAUCCACUCAUUACCAAACAUCCAUCCACUACACCCAUUACAUGCGCUCAUUACCAAACACUCAUCCACUACACCCAUUACAUCCACUCAUUACCAAACAUCCAUCCACUACACCCAUUACAUCCACUCAUUACCAAAACUACACCUAUUACAUCCACUCAUUACCACAAACACUCAUCCACUACACCCAUUACAUCCACUCAUUACGAAACAUCCAUCCACCACACCCAUUACAUCCACUAAUUACCACAACACUCAUCACUACCACCUUAAUUAGAUGGUGGUCCUCUCCCUAGCCUAUAAAUACAUCCACCCUUCACCAUAACAAUGGGGAAGAAAACCAGAUAGAACACAAUCCACCCAUCCACCCUUCACCAUAACUCACCUAUAUCCAUCCACCACCAUAAUUUACCACUCAUCCAUCAAACGACACCUUGUGCCGCAACAAAGAGAAGAAGGAGGACCCUUGGACGUGCUUGCCAUUCAAGUUGGAUUGUUGGAGCGUUUUUAGGUGUUUUCAUUCUUUGUUUUCAAUGUCUAAAUUUGUUUAUCUUUGCUUUGUGAGUAUGAGGUGGUGCGAAAUAUUCUAACACAAAAAUUAAACCCUCUUUUGACAAUUGUAGUAUAUGUAUAAGUAGGGAUCGUUCUGGACCGGGGAUUAGGAGAGAUUGCUAAUCUAAUUGAAACUGACUUAAAAACACAAAAAUAAACUUAAAAACUGAUAGGAGCAUAUUUAUGCGACUUAGUUGGCUUGUUCUUAAGCAUUUAUGUUGUUUUUCUUUAGUUAUUUUAGU